UACAGGGGGCGCGAGCGUUGCUCGGAAUCACUGGGCGUAAAGCGUACGCAGGCGGGCCGUUAAGUCGGAUGUGAAAUCCCAGGGCUCAACCCUGGAAGUGCAUUCGAUACUGGCGGUCUCGAGUACGGGAGAGGAGAGCGGAAUUCCUGGUGUAGAGGUGAAAUUCGUAGAUAUCAGGAGGAACACCGGUGGCGAAAGCGGCUCUCUGGCCCGAUACUGACGCUCAUGUACGAAAGCGUGGGGAGCAAACAGG
rnacentral:rRNA from 1 species